rnacentral:ncRNA from 1 species
CAGACGGUUCCCCCGAAGGGGAUUAAAAGGGAAUCCGGUCGGCGAUUUUGCGACUUUUGCAUGAUCACCUGAAAGCCGGAGCUGCCCCCGCAACUGUAAUCGGUGAGUUAAGGUUUGAUGAGUCGUGCCACUGGACGUCCGUCCGGGAAGGCCAAACCGAAACGAGGACCCGAAAGCCAGGAGACCUGCCGUCGAAAUUUUA